GCUCGUGUAGUUUAACUGGAAAAACAGAGGGUUUCUACCCCUCCGAUCGCUGGGUUCGAGUCCCCGCACGAGUUC
rnacentral:tRNA from 1 species